AUGAUAUGCUUCUUCGCAGUCGAGUGGCACUUUGUAGACCGUGUGGCAAGACAAUUUGGAAGAAGACAAGGUAUUCCAAUUGAGGAGAGCAAGGAGGAAAUGCUAUCUCUGCAUCGGUUCGAUCAAAGGAACAAUCAGGAUAUAUCGGAUUGGGCAAACAAACACCGUGCGUGGAUACAAAUUUGGAAUCAAAGAGACACGUUAGUGCAAUCAGAGAAUAGACCUCACAAUCAGUCAGCAUAUCAGUAGUAUCAAGUGUGGUAUGCGGAUCGUUACCGGUUAAAGCUAAAGCCUGGUUGGACUCACGAGGAGUGGUCGGAGUUGGUGUCUGAAGACCCGGAGACUGCAGAAGGUUAUCAUACCUUCAACACGGCUGUGAGAGACACCAGAGGGGCUCACGUUGACUAUGCACCAAUGCAUGACGAAAUGGUAGUCUGUUUGACCUAUUCUAACAUACUUGCAUCAUAUUGUCCUCUUUCAAAUACAUAA
rnacentral:rRNA from 1 species